GACAGAGGGUGCAAACGUUGUUCGGAAUUACUGGGCGUAAAGCGAGUGUAGGCGGUUUGGUAAGUCGGAUGUGAAAGCCCCGGGCUCAACCCGGGAAGUGCACUCGAUACUGCCAAGCUAGAGUAUCGGAGAGGUUGGUGGAAUUCUCGGUGUAGAGGUGAAAUUCGUAGAUAUCGAGAGGAACACCGGUGGCGAAGGCGGCUCACUGGCCCGGCACUGACGCUGAGGCGCGAAAGCUAGGGGGAGCAAACGGG
rnacentral:rRNA from 1 species